rnacentral:lncRNA from 1 species
AAGCUUCUAUCCUAACUGCGGGUAAGCAAGGGUAGUAGGUUGCGACAAGGUAAACGGCUCACAAACAUUUCUACCAUGCAUCCUAUCUCAGGUUAUUGCAUAAAAGUAAAGCGCUAGCUUCUACAUUCAUGGCAUGACUAAUAGGAUUCUACGAGGUUGGGUGGGACGUGGCACCUGGCAAGUCGUCCUCGAGCUCCUCAGUGUAGUCAGGGUCGUACUCCUCAGUCGUCGGCUCCUCCGGGUCUGUCAAACGAGACAUAUGGUCGCGAUAAGCGACUCCUAUAGAUAUCACAAAAAUCGAAUAGAAGAACCGAAAGAACCAAAUGCACUCAUAAAUAAGCCUAAGACGUAGAGUUCGUUUUUAGAAGAAUUUAGAUGCUUGGUUUGUAUUUUUCGGAAAUCAUUUAGGAGUUUAAAUGAUUUAUGCCAGGUUUAAGUUUGGAAGAAGAAAAGAAAAAAAGAAAAGAGGCUGGUUCAGUGGCUUGGGCUCAAACUGGCCCAACUCAGCGGCC